rnacentral:rRNA from 1 species
UGCAGUCGUACGGUAGCACGGAGAGCUUGCUCCCGGGUGACGAGUGGCGGACGGGUGAGUAAUGUCUGGGAAACUGCCUGAUGGAGGGGGAUAACUACUGGAAACGGUAGCUAAUACCGCAUAACGUCGCAAGACCAAAGAGGGGGACCUUCGGGCCUCUUGCCAUCAGAUGUGCCCAGAUGGGAUUAGCUAGUAGGUGGGGUAAUGGCUCACCUAGGCGACGAUCCCUAGCUGGUCUGAGAGGAUGACCAGCCACACUGGAACUGAGACACGGUCCAGACUCCUACGGGAGGCAGCAGUGGGGAAUAUUGCACAAUGGGCGCAAGCCUGAUGCAGCCAUGCCGCGUGUAUGAAGAAGGCCUUCGGGUUGUAAAGUACUUUCAGCGAGGAGGAAGGCAUCAAGGUUAAUAACCUUGGUGAUUGACGUUACUCGCAGAAGAAGCACCGGCUAACUCCGUGCCAGCAGCCGCGGCAAUACGGAGGGUGCAAGCGUUAAUCGGAAUUACUGGGCGUAAAGCGCACGCAGGCGGUCUGUCAAGUCGGAUGUGAAAUCCCCGGGCUCAACCUGGGAACUGCAUUCGAAACUGGCAGGCUAGAGUCUUGUAGAGGGGGGUAGAAUUCCAGGUGCAGCGGUGAAAUGCGUAGAGAUCUGGAGGAAUACCGGUGGCGAAGGCGGCCCCCUGGACAAAGACUGACGCUCAGGUGCGAAAGCG